rnacentral:rRNA from 1 species
CCUACGGGUGGCAGCAGUGGGGAAUAUUGCACAAUGGGGGAAACUCUGAUGCAGCGACGCCGCGUGAGUGAAGAAGUAUCUCGGUAUGUAAAGCUCUAUCAGUAGGGAAGAAAAUGACGGUACCUGACUAAGAAGCUCUGGCUAACUACGUGCCAGCAGCCGCGGUAAUACGUGAGGGGCAAGCGUUAUCCGGAUUUACUGGGUGUAAAGGGAGCGUAGGUGGCAUGGUAAGCCAGAAGUGAAAACCCGGGGCUCAACCCCGAGGAUUGCUUUUGGAACUAGCAGGCUUGAGUGCUGGAGGGGUGAGCGGAAUUCGUGGUGUAGCGGUGAAAUGCGUAGAUAUUAGGAGGAACACCGGUGGCGAAGGCAGUUUACUGGACAGAAACUGACACUGAGGCUCGAAAGCGUGGGUAGCAAACAGGAUUAGAUACCCGUGUAGUC